AGUCGAGGGGUAACAUGAGUGCUUGCACUUGAUGACGACCGGCGCACGGGUGCGUAACGCGUAUACAAUCUACCUUAUAGAGGAGAAUAGCCCAGAGAAAUUUGGAUUAAUGCUCCAUGGUAUUAUCGACUAGCAUUGGUUGAUAAUUAAACAUUUAUGGCUAUAAGAUGAGUAUGCGUUCUAUUAGCUUGAUGGUAAGGUAACGGCUUACCAUGGCAACGAUAGAUAGGGGUCCUGAGAGGGAGAUCCCCCACACUGGUACUGAGACACGGACCAGACUCCUACGGGAGGCAGCAGUGAGGAAUAUUGGACAAUGGGAGCAAUCCUGAUCCAGCCAUGCCGCGUGCAGGAAGACUGCCCUAUGGGUUGUAAACUGCUUUUAUACAGGAAGAAAAAGGUGUACGUGUACACUGUUGACGGUACUGUAAGAAUAAGGAUCGGCUAACUCCGUGCCAGC
rnacentral:rRNA from 1 species